UCCUACGGGAGGCAGCAGUGGGGAAUAUUGGACAAUGGGGGGAACCCUGAUCCAGCCAUGCCGCGUGUGUGAAGAAGGCCCUCGGGUUGUAAAGCACUUUCAGCGAGGAAGAACGCCUAGCGGUUAAUACCCGCUAGGAAAGACAUCACUCGCAGAAGAAGCACCGGCUAACUCCGUGCCAGCAGCCGCGGUAAUACGGAGGGUGCAAGCGUUAAUCGGAAUUACUGGGCGUAAAGCGCGCGUAGGUGGCUUGAUAAGCCGGUUGUGAAAGCCCCGGGCUCAACCUGGGAACGGCAUCCGGAACUGUCAAGCUAGAGUGCAGGAGAGGAAGGUAGAAUUCCCGGUGUAGCGGUGAAAUGCGUAGAGAUCGGGAGGAAUACCAGUGGCGAAGGCGGCCUUCUGGACUGACACUGACACUGAGGUGCGAAAGCGUGGGUAGCAAACAGGAUUAGAUACCCUGGUAGUCCACGCCGUAAACGAUGUCGACCAGCCGUUGGGUGCCUAGCGCACUUUGUGGCGAAGUUAACGCGAUAAGUCGACCGCCUGGGGAGUACGGCCGCAAGUUAAAACUCAAUGAAUUGACGGA
rnacentral:rRNA from 1 species